rnacentral:rRNA from 1 species
UACAGAGGGUGCGAGCGUUGUUCGGAAUUACUGGGCGUAAAGCGUGCGCAGGCGGUUAUUUAAGUCAGGGGUGAAAGCCCUGGGCUUAACCUAGGAAUUGCGCUUGAGACUGGAUAGCUUGGAGUGCGGCAGAGGGAGGUGGAAUUCCACGUGUAGCAGUGAAAUGCGUAGAGAUGUGGAGGAACACCGAUGGCGAAGGCAGCCUCCUGGGCCAGCACUGACGCUCAUGCACGAAAGCGUGGGGAGCAAACAGG